rnacentral:rRNA from 1 species
AGAGUUUGAUCCUGGCUCAGAUUGAACGCUGGCGGCAGGCUUAACACAUGCAAGUCGAGCGGGGGAAGGUAGCUUGCUACUGGACCUAGCGGCGGACGGGUGAGUAAUGCUUAGGAAUCUGCCUAUUAGUGGGGGACAACAUCUCGAAAGGGAUGCUAAUACCGCAUACGUCCUACGGGAGAAAGCAGGGGACCUUCGGGCCUUGCGCUAAUAGAUGAGCCUAAGUCGGAUUAGCUAGUUGGUGGGGUAAAGGCCUACCAAGGCGACGAUCUGUAGCGGGUCUGAGAGGAUGAUCCGCCACACUGGGACUGAGACACGGCCCAGACUCCUACGGGAGGCAGCAGUGGGGAAUAUUGGACAAUGGGCGGAAGCCUGAUCCAGCCAUGCCGCGUGUGUGAAGAAGGCCUUUUGGUUGUAAAGCACUUUAAGCGAGGAGGAGGCUACUAAGAUUAAUACUCUUGGAUAGUGGACGUUACUCGCAGAAUAAGCACCGGCUAACUCUGUGCCAGCAGCCGCGGUAAUACAGAGGGUGCGAGCGUUAAUCGGAUUUACUGGGCGUAAAGCGUGCGUAGGCGGCUUUUUAAGUCGGAUGUGAAAUCCCCGAGCUUAACUUGGGAAUUGCAUUCGAUACUGGGAAGCUAGAGUAUGGGAGAGGAUGGUAGAAUUCCAGGUGUAGCGGUGAAAUGCGUAGAGAUCUGGAGGAAUACCGAUGGCGAAGGCAGCCAUCUGGCCUAAUACUGACGCUGAGGUACGAAAGCAUG